UACGGGGGGUGCAAGCGUUGUCCGGAAUUACUGGGCGUAAAGGGCUCGUAGGUGGCCUACUAAGUCGGACGUGAAAUCCCGCAGCUUAACUGGGGAACUGCGUCCGAUACUGGAUGGCUUGAGUUUGGGAGAGGGAUGCGGAAUUCCAGGUGUAGCGGUGAAAUGCGUAGAUAUCUGGAGGAACACCGGUGGCGAAGGCGGCAUCCUGGACCAACACUGACACUGAGGAGCGAAAGCCAGGGGAGCAAACGGG
rnacentral:rRNA from 1 species